rnacentral:rRNA from 1 species
AUUGAACGCUGGCGGCAUGCUUUACACAUGCAAGUCGAACGGCAGCGGGGAGGAUCUUGCUUCUCUGCCGGCGAGUGGCGAACGUGUGAGUAAUACAUCUGAACGGUUCGAGAGGAGGGGGAUAACCACCCGAAAGGGUGGCUAAUACCGCAUAAAUUCUGAGGAAGAAAGCUCGGGACCUAUGAAUAUGCCUAGCGCUUUUUGAGCGGCCUAUGUCGGAUUAGCUAGUUGGUGAGGUAAAGGCUCACCAAGGCGAAGAUCUGUAGCGGGUCUGAGAGGAUGAUCCGCCACACUGGGACUGAGACACGGCCCAGACUCCUACGGGAGGCAGCAGUGGGGAAUUUUGGACAAUGGGGGAAAGCCUGAUCCAGCCAUGCCGCGUGUAUGAAGAAGGCCUUAGGGUUGUAAAGUACUUUUGUUAGGGAAGAAGAGUAGGCUGUGAAUAAUGUCUGAUACUGACGGUACCUAAAGAAUAAGCACCGGCUAACUACGUG